CCCUGAUCUAAUAUGAAAAACCAAGUAUCCCUCCAAAUCCUCGCAUUGUUCGCUGCUGCCCUCUGCAGUAUCGCGGAGAAUCCCGCCGCGCGGCCGCAGAAAGGAAACGCCCACAGCGGAGAAGCUUUUUUCAAGGUGGACUUCCCGAACGUGCAUGGAAAUGGCCGCAGUUGCGCGACCUGUCACGUCCCUGAAGAAGCUUUCCAACUGACGCCGCAACACGUGGAAGCGCGUUUUCAAGCGCUCGAGCAGCGGCGACUGACUGACCCCUCCGCGGACGAUCCGCUCUUCCGCUCGAUCGAUGCGAACGAUUUUGCAGAAGACUUUACCAAUCUGCGCAAGCACGCCCUUGU
rnacentral:misc_RNA from 1 species